AUGGAAACUGAAGACUUGUUUGUGCCUGUUUGGGUAAAAAACUACAGUGAGGAAAGAAGGAAGAACUGGGUGCCGUCAUCGUCUGAUCUCAAACUACUUUCGCUCAAUCGUCUUAAACAGCAACAAGCUUGUGAGGAUAACCGCAAGGUGGCUGUGAAGGAUGUAAGUUGGAGGAAGAAGUGGGUGGCGGCGUGGAUGGAUGUGGUGAGUAGGAAGAAGUGGGUGUCAUAUACAGACAUAAUCAUCAUGGUCAUGCUUGUCAUGGCCGCCAUCCCGCAUGACGAGGACUACCACGACUUUGCCGACCAACGCACACUUUUCCUUGGGAUCCCUAAUACGCUGAAUGUGAUCUCAACAAUCCCCCUCUUUUUUGUCGGUCUCGCCGGGCUCAUCCUUAACCACUGCGAAAGCUAUUUUAGGCUAUGGUCACAGGGGGAUCUCUACACACUCUUUGCUGGUGUCAGUGCUGCUGGCUUUGGUUCAUGCUAUUACCAUCUCAACCCAGAAAAUGGCACCCUAUUUUGGCACAAAUUGCCAAUGGUGACCACUUUCACAUGUUUUGAGGCCAUUUUCAUUAUUGAAAGUUUUCAUGAUUGGGCAAGAACAAAGUCCCUUGCAUCAACAAGCUACUGGUUAUGGGCAGCAGGAUUGUACCUCCUUGCUAGAGUAGAAGAGGUUGCGGACAAACAAAUUUAUAGGUGGACUCUUCAGAUUGUUAGUGGGCAUACUCUUGGUCAUUUAUGUGUUUCGAUGGUACAUCUUUUUUUGAUUCUCAUGUUAGCAGAAAGGACAAGGACAAUUGAACUAGAAAGUUUACGUGUUAAGUGGAAUUUGUUUCAACUGCGCACACUAAUUUUUACCAAACUUAAUCUGACGCAUGGUUCCAGUGGAUCAUCAACUAAAUCUUUCUUCCAUGGUCUGCUUAUUGGUGCCCAAGAUGAUCUACCUCUGGGUGCCCAUGAUACAGGGCUAGUUCUUUUGGGGCUUAUGGGUGGCUGCCAAAAUAAGCUGCCCCCUACCCAGCUUACUGACCAUGUUGUUGCUUUGAAUCAGGCAAAGAUCUCUGACGAUCAAGCAAUGUUAGAAACCCCAAUUCGUGCUUGGGAGACUCUGUCACGAAUUCAUGGCCUUUGGGGGAUGGACAUUUACAAGAAUAAGGUGCUUCAGUUUUUACAGAGUGAGCUGUCGGAUGAGUCCUUUCUUGGAUUAUGGGGCCCGCCGGGUGUUGGCAAGACGCGACUUCUUUCACUCAUUGCUGCUAGCUAUGCCGAUUCAUUCCGUCACAUCGUAUUUCUUGAUGGUGUCAGCAGCGUGAUAGUUAUGCAACAUCAUCUUGCUUCUUUCUUGAAAUUGGAUUGGGAGACGAUGUCGGCGUUAGAGGAGCAUUGCCGAGCUAAGAUCAUUACUGACAUUCUAGUGCAAGACAGUUUUUUGCUUCUAUUAGACAACGUUUAUGAUAGACCCUACCCAGACUUGGUAGCUGUUGGUUUGCCGAUGCCUCUUGGGUGUCAUCAAAAGGUUGUUCUUGCAUCAAGGAUGAAGUGCCUCGGGGACGAAGAUGCUUGGAGACUUUUCAAGUACCAUGCGGGAGUUGAAAUCACAGAAGCUGAUGCUGAAAUUUACGAUUAUGCAAAACAGAUGGUUCGGGCAUGUGGUGGGUUGCCUAGAGGCAUACGUGCCCUUGGCAAAGGCGUUGCCCAAGUGACUGGUAGUGGUAAGGAUCUAUUUGCUUGGCAGUUUGCGUACAGGCAAACCAUGGGAAGAAUUCGACAUCCCGAGGAAAUGCCAGAAAUAGCGUAUGUUCUGGUCUAG
rnacentral:rRNA from 1 species